CACAAACGUAUUCCUGAUCCUAUAGUGUCAAAACCACCAUCCAGCUCCCUUGGCCCCCCUUAAUAUAGCACAAUCUUACUUUUAUUCCAGUCUGCUGCUGCUGGCCUGCCCCUGAUCUGCCUGCUUGGCUGACAUCAUCAGGAGUGUGGAUCGACGCCAGUCACAAUGCUUUCCCAUAGGAAAGCAUUGGAUUGGCUGAGAUUGUUAAGGAGGCAAGCUAAAGGCAAAUACUGGCAAGCAACAGCCUAAGCCCCCAGCCACAGAUAACACCUCAAUAUAUUCCAAUAUAUCUCUAGGAAACCAGUUGAUGGAGAGUGAAUUAUUUCCUGUGCAAUGCUUAGUGAAUAUUCGCUAGACAUGCAGAGCUAUAAAUAUAUACAGUAACCUAUGGAUGUAUUGCAUACAGAGACGUGGAUUUAAUAACAUAUAUUAUCCUGUAGCAACAGAUAACUGGGCAAGCUUCCCUUGAUGGCUCUUUUGGUGAGAAAUGGCAAGGAAAUCGAGGUGAAGAAUUAAUAAAAGGCCCACAGGUGUAAUUAGUACAUCUGGAGAUACCUUGCCUAACUCUCACCUGCAGUACCAGAGAGAAGGAGACUUGUCAUAGAUACAGGUAAAUAAGGGUUAAAAGGCCUUUUUGCCUUAGUUAAAG